UACAGAGGUCCCAAGCGUUGUUCGGAUUCACUGGGCGUAAAGGGUGCGUAGGUGGUGAGGUAAGUCGGAUGUGAAAUCUCCGAGCUCAACUCGGAAAUGGCAUUGGAAACUACCUUGCUCGAGGGUUGGAGGGGGGACUGGAAUGCUUGGUGUAGCAGUGAAAUGCGUAGAUAUCAAGCGGAACACCAGUGGCGAAGGCGAGUCCCUGGACAACUCCUGACACUGAGGCACGAAAGCUAGGGGAGCAAACAGG
rnacentral:rRNA from 1 species